UGAUCCUGGCUCAGGACGAACGCUGGCGGCGUGCCUAACACAUGCAAGUCGAGCGGAGUUACCUUUAGCACUGAGUAUUCUUAAAUAUAUGAUGCUGGCCGACAGCGUCAUGCAAAAACAACCUUGAUGAAUUGUUUAUUUAUCGUUUUUUGCAUAACGCGUUUUAUCAAAGUGUCAACACAUAUACAUAGAAGAGAAUGUUCAGUGCUGAAGGUAACUUAGCGGCGGACGGGUGAGUAACGCGUGGGCAACCUGCCUGUUACAGGGGGAUAACACAGGGAAACUUGUGCUAAUACCGCAUAACACAACGAGAAAGCAUUUUCUUGUUGUCAAAGGAGCAAUCCGGUAAUAGAUGGGCCCGCGUCCAAUUAGCUAGUUGGUGAUGUAACGGACCACCAA
rnacentral:rRNA from 1 species